UACGUAGGGUGCGAGCGUUAAUCGGAAUUACUGGGCGUAAAGCGUGCGCAGGCGGUUUGUUAAGACAGGUGUGAAAUCCCCGGGCUUAACCUGGGAAUGGCGCUUGUUACUGGCAAGCUAGAGUGUGUCAGAGGGAGGUAGAAUUCCACGUGUAGCAGUGAAAUGCGUAGAGAUGUGGAGGAAUACCGAUGGCGAAGGCAGCCUCCUGGGAUAACACUGACGCUCAUGCACGAAAGGCGUGGGGAGCAAA
rnacentral:rRNA from 1 species